UACGUAGGGGGCAAGCGUUGUCCGGAAUUAUUGGGCGUAAAGAGCUCGUAGGCGGUUUGUUGCGUCGGCUGUGAAAUCCCGAGGCUCAACCUCGGGUCUGCAGUCGAUACGAGCAAACUAGAGUGUUGCAGGGGAGACUGGAAUUCCUGGUGUAGCGGUGAAAUGCGCAGAUAUCAGGAGGAACACCGGUGGCGAAGGCGGGUCUCUGGGCAACAACUGACGCUGAGGAACGAAAGCCAGGGUAGCGAACGGG
rnacentral:rRNA from 1 species